GUUAAUAAAGAAUUUACGGUCCAAUUCACAAAUUGCGAACUAAAAUCUUUAUUUCCUUCCUUUUGGAAUAACUCCCGAAAAUUAUCUAAUAAUCUAGGGUAUCAAGUAUUCCAAAUCUUUUACUGUGAAGAAAUUAGAGUGUUCAAAGCAGGCGUAUCCAAGUCUUUGAAUAUAUUAGCAUGGGAUAAUGAAAUAGGACUUUAGUUCUACUUUCGUUGGUUUCUAGGGCUGAAGUA
rnacentral:rRNA from 1 species